rnacentral:rRNA from 1 species
AUUGAACGCUGGCGGCAUGCUUUACACAUGCAAGUCGAACGGUAACAGGCCGCCAGGUGCUGACGAGUGGCGAACGGGUGAGUAAUGCAUCGGAACGUGCCCAGUCGUGGGGGAUAACUACUCGAAAGAGUAGCUAAUACCGCAUACGAUCUAUGGAUGAAAGCGGGGGACCGUAAGGCCUCGCGCGAUUGGAGCGGCCGAUGUCAGAUUAGGUAGUUGGUGGGGUAAAGGCUCACCAAGCCAACGAUCUGUAGCUGGUCUGAGAGGACGACCAGCCACACUGGGACUGGGCCCCGGCCCAGCCUCCUACGGGAGGCAGCAGUGGGGAAUUUUGGACAAUGGCCGCAAGCCUGAUCCAGCAAUGCCGCGUGCAGGAAGAAGGCCUUCGGGUUGUAAACUGCUUUUGUACGGAACGAAACGGCUCUGGUUAAUACCCGGGGCUAAUGACGGUACCGUAAGAAUAAGCACCGGCUAACUACGUG